CAGUAGCCAGGUAAUACGAAGGGUGCAAGCGUUACUCGGAAUUACUGGGCGUAAAGCGUGCGUAGGUGGUGGUUUAAGUCCGUUGUGAAAGCCCUGGGCUCAACCUGGGAAUUGCAGUGGAUACUGGGUCACUAGAGUGUGGUAGAGGAUAGUGGAAUUUCCGGUGUAGCAGUGAAAUGCGUAGAGAUCGGAAGGAACAUCUGUGGCGAAGGCGACUAUCUGGGCCAACACUGACACUGAGGCACGAAAGCGUGGGGAGCAAACAGGAUUAGAUACCCGAGUAGUCCCUGUCUCUUAUACA
rnacentral:rRNA from 1 species